rnacentral:lncRNA from 1 species
GGGAGACUUCCAGAGAGGAGUGGGGUCAGUGAGAACCACAGGAUUCUUGGACACAGCCCUAAUCGCCGCUCUCGGCUUGUGGCUGACCAGGUCAGCGCUGUGAAGGCACCACUUUUAGAUGUUCAGAUUCCUUUGUGAAACCAAAAAGUGUCUGUCUCCCACAGGCAUGAAAUUCCAGGGAUGUCAGACAGCUGGAGCAAGGUUCCCAUCGCGCUCUGUCUCGGGGCUCUUGCCCUCUCUGGCUGCACGGCCUCAAACCAGACUGUCACAGGGAGCUGUGGAGCCAGAGAGCCUGGGCUGGGUUUCCAUCCAAGGCUUGGGGUUCUCCCGUCCUCAUCACCAUUGCAUGAGAUGCUGUGAUGAGUCUGCAUUUUGUGUGCAAGGAAACAUGCGGGGAAUGCAUCGAGUCCCCCACAGGCAGCCCUCAGCUGGCUGUGGCAGAGGCAGGGCUCAGCCCUCAGCUCUGCUGAGUUCAUGUCUGCCUGCACAGGGCUGUACAGGCAUGCCUUCAGCUGUGGCUGUGUGCAGCAUGUUCCCUGAGCUUGUGGUGAUGCUGGAAAAUGGAACCUUCCCAUGUCUGCUAGGACCUCCCUGCAGCCCUCAGCUCUGCUGCUGGGAGAGGAGACCAUCCCUGGUGUGCUGCAGUGUGUGCAUUGCUGGGUGCCUGGGCUCUGGGGGCGCAAGGGCAUUGCCAGGUCUCUGCUCCACACCCUGCUCUCAGCAGCCUUCCCUCCUGAGCCACGCUGAUCCUGCUUUCAGCUCUGCCACGGGGAAAUGCUGCCUGGGGAAGGUGGCAGCUGGCCUCCCAGCAACAUUCCCCUUCCCUUUUUCUGCAGCAAGGUGCUUCCAGCUCACAUUCCUAAAUAUAGAUUUAUUCUGUAUUGUCAUACAGAACAAAUAGUGCUUUCAGCUUAUUUUUUUGCUGUGAGGGUUUUUCAAAUAGAGGUUUUCUUUUCCUUUUUUCUGUUGCCUUGAUUCUUCAGAUUAAAGGCGUUCUGUGCUAAUACACUUGGAGGCUUUCUGGAGGCAUGUGUUAAUAGGAUAUAUAGCAGUCAGCUUAUUAGUAUGGUGACUCUGGUGUAGCCCUCAGAGGAGCUGAGUUGCUGUGGUAUAUUCUGGGAUAUUCUCUUUCUAAUGUCUUCCA